AACGAACGCUGGCGGCAGGCCUAACACAUGCAAGUCGAACGCCGUAGCAAUACGGAGUGGCAGACGGGUGAGUAACGCGUGGGAACAUACCCCUCGGUUCGGAAUAACUCAGGGAAACUUGAGCUAAUACCGGAUACGUCCGAGGUUUUAAUCGGCCUUGGAGAAAGAUUUAUCGCCGGAGGAUUGGCCCGCGUCUGAUUAGCUUGUUGGUGAGGUAAUGGCUCACCAAGGCGACGAUCAGUAGCUGGUCUGAGAGGAUGAUCAGCCACAUUGGGACUGAGACACGGCCCAGACUCCUACGGGAGGCAGCAGUGGGGAAUUUUGGACAAUGGGGGAAACCCUGAUCCAGCCAUGCCGCGUGAGUGAAGAAGG
rnacentral:rRNA from 1 species